UACGUAGGGACCGAGCGUUGUCCGGAAUCAUUGGGCGUAAAGAGCGUGUAGGCGGCCACUUAAGUCCUGCGUGAAAUCUUGCGGCUCAACCGCAAGCGGUCGUGGGAAACUGGGUGGCUAGAGUGCGGGAGAGGAGAGUGGAAUUCCUGGUGUAGCGGUGAAAUGCGUAGAUAUCGGAAGGAACACCAGUGGCGAAAGCGGCUUCCUGGUCCAGCACCGACGUUCAGGCACGAAAGCGUGGGGAGCAAACAGG
rnacentral:rRNA from 1 species